rnacentral:rRNA from 1 species
GACGAACCGUGCGAACGUUGUUCGGAAUCACUGGGCUUAAAGGGCGCGUAGGCGGAUCGACGAGUCUGUGGUGAAAUCCUUCAGCUUAACUGGAGAAGUGCCGUGGAUACUGUCGGUCUCGAGGAGGAUAGGGGCAUCUGGAACUGCCGGUGGAGCGGUGAAAUGCGUUGAUAUCGGCAGGAACUCCGGUGGCGAAGGCGGGUCUCUGGGCCGAUACUGACGCUGAGGAGCGAAAGCGUGGGGAGCGAACAGG